rnacentral:rRNA from 1 species
UACGAAGGAUGCAAGCGUUAUCCGGAUUUAUUGGGUUUAAAGGGUGCGUAGGCGGACUUAUAAGUCAGUGGUGAAAUCUCGUUGCUUAACAACGAACGUGCCAUUGAUACUGUAGGUCUUGAGUACAGAUGCCGUUGGCGGAAUGUGUCAUGUAGCGGUGAAAUGCUUAGAGAUGACAUAGAACACCAAUUGCGAAGGCAGCUCACUACUCGAUCAUUGACGCUGAGGCACGAAAGCGUGGGGAUCAAACAGG